AGGGAGAUAGAGCGUUUGGAGUGCGAGGGGAGGAAGGAUGCGAACUUGAUGUCACCGCGAGGAGCAUGCAGGAUUCUGUUGCCAGAUACUUUGGUGCAACGGCUGCUGCUGCUUAUUACAGUGUCACAGCUACACGCAACUGACUCAGCUUAAUAGCUCGAGAUGCAGUCCUUGCACUUAUUUAUUUGAUUUCAAAUAGCUGUGGAGCAAUAUGUUGCUGUGAACGCUGCUGAGAAUAAAGUUAAACAUGUAUGACUAAGUGGGAUAAGGUGAUUAUGUCCUUUCCAAUGGAAUUCCAACUCCAAACUGUACCCCAUGAGACACUCUACUGACUUUAUCCUAGAGCAGUGAUGGCCAACCUUGGCACUCCAGAUGUUUCAGAACUACAUUUCCCAUGAUGUUUAGGCACUCUGAAGACCAGUCAAGCAUUAUGGUAAACCAUCACUGUACUAGAGAUUAUUUCAAACUCUUGGUAUCCACUAGAGUGGAAAAAGCUGUUUUGAAGGAAUGGAUUAGUUGAUAGAAAAAUCCCCACUCCCCUCUAUUUUAACAUUUUGUAUUGUACCUUACUAUAAUUUACUUUAUGGUCUGUAUUAAUGUACCUUUUUGUUGGUCAAAUAUUUAUAUACUGUAUGUAUAAAAAGAUUUAGGAAUAAUUCUGGAUUUCUGAAUUCUGUAUUGUGGGAUUUGUACCUGUAUUUACAAAUGAAAUGCAUUUAUGUACAUUUAAAUUUUGAUUGUUCUAUCCCUUUAA